rnacentral:rRNA from 1 species
CCUACGGGAGGCAGCAGUGGGGGAUAUUGCACAAUGGGGGAAACCCUGAUGCAGCGACGCCGCGUGGGCGAAGAAGUAUUUCGGUAUGUAAAGCCCUAUCAGCAGGGAAGAAGAAAUGACGGUACCUGAGUAAGAAGCACCGGCUAAAUACGUGCCAGCAGCCGCGGUAAUACGUAUGGUGCAAGCGUUAUCCGGAUUUACUGGGUGGAAAGGGAGCGCAGGCGGCACGGCAAGCCUGAUGUGAAAGCCCGCGGCCCAACCGCGGGACUGCAUUGGGAACUACCGGGCUGGAGUGCCGGAGAGGUAGGCGGAAUUCCUAGUGUAGCGGUGAAAUGCGUAGAUAGUAGGAGGAACACCAGUGGCGAAGGCGGCCUACUGGACGGUGACUGACGCUGAGGCUCGAAAGCGUGGGGAGCAAACAGGAUUAGAUACCCGUGUAGUC